UUUUCCUUCAACCAAAACCUGCGCACACCACUGCCCUUCAUCUUUUUCUUCUCUGCACAUGACUUCUUGGAGAAACCAUAACCUCCUUCACCAAUUUAAAACACAGAGACAUCACACAAACUCAGAUCAUCCCCAAAACACAUAACCACACCCCCUUCACCUCCAAUACACCCACCCUCCCUUCGGUUUGGGUAAUCGGCCGACCACCACCGGCUGGUGGUGGUGCGAUGACGGAUCAAAGAGAGAGAGACGGAGAGAGAGCGAGACCGAAGAGAGAGAGGAUGGCGGAGAAGGAGCGCCGCCGCCGCUCAAGGCGGCGACAAUAGCGGCGUGGCGGUGGUUUGUGUGUCGGUCCGACGAUUUUAAACCGCUUCAAGGCGCGAGUCGGCUCGGGAGGACUUUGGAUGUUUAUGGUCUCGUUUGGUUCGAGUCUCGGGUCAGGUUGCGGAUUAUUUCGAAUUCGGGUCAGAUCUGGUCAUGUCUCGGUUCGGGUCAGCAGCGGGUUCGAGUUAUGGUUUGGUUUAACUCGGGUUUAAACUCGAGUCAGAAUUGGUCGCGUGGGAUUCUGUUCAACAGAUUAAUGGGUUUCGGUUCAUCUCAGUUUAGUAUGGUUCGGGUUUUUGGUCUGAGUCAGCUCGGUUAAACCGAGUUAACUCGGUUCGGACUCAGGUCAAAGCGCGUCGACUCGGUCAACACCCGAGUCCACUCGGGUCAAUAGGUGGUCAACUGUUAGUCAGCAGGUCAACAGCGGGUCAACGCCCGUCAAACAUCAUCUCGGGUCAGUUUUGAGUAUGCGGUUUACUUUUGGUUCGGUCUCGAUUCACCUCAAGUUUGUUCGGUUCGACAGGUUCGGAUUCAAUUCAAAACGGGUCAGGUCAACAAAAGUCAAUUCUGGUCAAGCAGCCAACUGUAGGGCCAACUGGUCAAACAUAAGAUCCGGUAAAGUUAACGUCACGAAAUUAGUAUAGAUUUUUAUACUACGCGAACCGAGCUCGACCCGAAUCGAUUAGUGAUUAGUUACAUUUUACCUUGUCGUAUUUCGUAUAAAUUUUAGUAUAUAUUGUUUACUUGGUGAAAAUUGUUGAAUUUUGUUAAAAAGAUCGACAGUUUGAUUGU